GACGAACGCUGGCGGCGUGCUUAACACAUGCAAGUCGAACGGAAAGGCCCUGCUUUUGUGGGGUGCUCGAGUGGCGAACGGGUGAGUAACACGUGAGUAACCUGCCCUUGACUUUGGGAUAACUUCAGGAAACUGGGGCUAAUACCGGAUAGGAGCUCCUGCUGCAUGGUGGGGGUUGGAAAGUUUCGGCGGUUGGGGAUGGACUCGCGGCUUAUCAGCUUGUUGGUGGGGUAGUGGCUUACCAAGGCUUUGACGGGUAGCCGGCCUGAGAGGGUGACCGGCCACAUUGGGACUGAGAUAAGGCCCAGACUCCUACGGGAGGCAGGAGUGGAGAAUAUUGCACAAUGGGCGGGAGCCAGAUGCAGCAACGCCGCGUGCGGGAUGACGGCCUUCGGGUUGUAAACCGCUUUCGCCUGUGACGAAGCGUGAGUGACGGUAAUGGGUAAAGAAGCACCGGCUAACUACGUG
rnacentral:rRNA from 1 species